UACGUAGGGUGCGAGCGUUGUCCGGAUUUAUUGGGCGUAAAGAGCGUGUAGGCGGCCAGACAGGUCCGUUGUGAAAACUCGAGGCUCAACCUCGAGACGCCGAUGGAAACCGUCUGGCUAGAGUCCGGAAGAGGAGAGUGGAAUUCCUGGUGUAGCGGUGAAAUGCGCAGAUAUCAGGAAGAACACCCGUGGCUAAGGCGGCUCUCUAGUACGGUACUGACGCUGAGACGCGAAAGCGUGGGGAGCGAACAGG
rnacentral:rRNA from 1 species